CCGCAAGGCUAAAACUCAAAGAAAUUGACGGCGGGCCCGCACAAGCGGCGGAGCAUGUGGAUUAAUUCGAUGCAACGCGAAGAACCUUACCUGGGUUUGACAUGCACAGGACGUGCCUAGAGAUAGGUAUUCCCUUGUGGUCUGUGUGCAGGUGGUGCAUGGCUGUCGUCAGCUCGUGUCGUGAGAUGUUGGGUUAAGUCCCGCAACGAGCGCAACCCUCGUCCUAUGUUGCCAGCGGGUUAUGCCGGGGACUCGUAGGAGACUGCCGGGGUCAACUCGGAGGAAGGUGGGGAUGACGUCAAGUCAUCAUGCCCCUUAUGUCCAGGGCUUCACACAUGCUACAAUGGCCGGUACAAAGGGCUGCGAUGCCGUGAGGUGGAGCGAAUCCUUUUAAAGCCGGUCUCAGUUCGGAUCGGGGUCUGCAACUCGACCCCGUGAAGUCGGAGUCGCUAGUAAUCGCAGAUCAGCAACGCUGC
rnacentral:rRNA from 1 species